rnacentral:lncRNA from 1 species
CAGUACUGUACCUCCCAUCUAGCCAGUACUGUACCUCAUCUAGCCAGUACUGUACCUCCCAUCCAGCCAGUACAGUACCUCCCAUCUAGCCAAUACAGUACAGUACCUCCCAUCUAGCCAGUACAGUACCUCUUCUAGCCAAUACAGUACAGUACCUCCCAUCCAGCCAGUACUGUACCUCCCACCAAGCCAGUACUGUACCUCCCUUCUAACCAGUACAGUACCUCAUCUAGCCAAUACAGUACCUCAUCUAGCCAAUACAGUACCUCCCAUCCAACCAGUACUGUACCUCCCAUCCAGCCAGUACUGUACCUCCCAUCUAGCCAGUACUGUACCUCCCAUCCAGCCAGUACUGUACCUCCCAUCUAGCCAGUACUGUACCUCCCAUCUAGCCAGUACUGUACCUCCCAUCCAGCCAGUACAGUACCUCCCGUCUAGCCAGUACAGUACAGUACUUCCCAUCUAGCCAGUAUAGUACCUCCCAUCUAGCCAAUACAGUACAGUACCUCUCAUCUAGCCAUACAGUACAGUACCUCCCAUCUAGCCAAUACAGUACAGUACCUCCCAUCUAGCCAGUACAGUACCUCCCAUCUAGCCAGUACAGUACAGUACCUCCCAUCUAGCCAAUACAGUACAGUACCUCCCAUCUAGCCAGUACAGUACCUCCCAUCUAGCCAAUACAGUACCUCCCAUCUAGCCAAUACAGUACCUCCCAUCUAGCCAGUACAGUACAGUACCUCCCAUCUAGCCAGUACAGUACAGUACCUCCCAUCUAGCCAGUACAGUACAGUACCUCCCAUCUAGCCAAUACAGUACCUCCCAUCUAGCCAAUACAGUACAGUACAGUACCUCCCAUCUAGCCAAUACAGUACAGUACCUCCCAUCUAGCCAAUACAGUACAGUACCUCCCAUCUAGCCAAUACAGUACAGUACCUCCCAUCUAGCCAGUACAGUACAGUACCUCCCAUCUAGCCAGUACAGUAUCUCACCUAUUUUCUCACCAAACAUUUGAGUGAUGUGUUGUGUUUUAUCCUGCCUCUGUCUCUCCAAUACAGCUGUCACUUAGCUUAUCAUUAGAAACGCCAAACACACAGAAACAUUGUUCAUCUAUUCUGAACUUUGGUGUACUGUUGUUGUUGUCAAAAGCAACAAGAAAAAAGCCUACAUUGAAUUUAGCAGAAAGUACAACCUGUUUGUGUGUAUGUAGGCUUUAAAACACAUUAUUAUUAUUACAGUCCGUCAGUUCUCACAGUGAAAUGACUGCGUUUGUGUGUCACAGUCGUCAAACUAAACAGCUGCAUUAUAAUGCACAUUGUCCUCACUAGUCUGAAGUGCUGACUACUCUUAUCUUUUCAACUGAAUUGUCAUCUUGCUGUGUUUUGAUCCCAUCCCUCUGAGAACACAAAACCUGUAUAGCUUAAAAUAACUUUUUAAACAAUUCAAACAUUUUGUACCUUUUUCAACAACAACAACAACAACAAAUACUGAAAGGGUAAAAUAAAUAUAUCUUGAAUUGCACAAGUGUAAUAAUGUAAGCACUCCGUUAUGAACUCUGAGAAUGGGGCUGUUUGUCCGUCAGACCAUAGAUACAGGGAAGCCCAGUC